rnacentral:rRNA from 1 species
GAUUAAGUUAUUAAGGGCGCACGGUGGAUGCCUUGGCACUAGAAGCCAAUGAAGGACGUUACUAACGACGAUAUGCUUUGGGGAGCUGUAAGUAAGCUUUGAUCCAGAGAUUUCCGAAUGGGGAAACCCAGCAUGAGUUAUGUCAUGUUAUCGAUAUGUGAAUACAUAGCAUAUCAGAAGGCACACCCGGAGAACUGAAACAUCUUAGUACCCGGAGGAAGAGAAAGAAAAUUCGAUUCCCUUAGUAGCGGCGAGCGAAACGGGAAGAGCCCAAACCAACAAGCUUGCUUGUUGGGGUUGUAGGACACUCUAUACGGAGUUACAAAGGACGACAUUAGACGAAUCAUCUGGAAAGAUGAAUCAAAGAAGGUAAUAAUCCUGUAGUCGAAAAUGUUGUCUCUCUUGAGUGGAUCCUGAGUACGACGGAGCACGUGAAAUUCCGUCGGAAUCUGGGAGGACCAUCUCCUAAGGCUAAAUACUCUCUAGUGACCGAUAGUGAACCAGUACCGUGAGGGAAAGGUGAAAAGCACCCCGGAAGGGGAGUGAAAUAGAACCUGAAACCGUGUGCUUACAAGUAGUCAGAGCCCGUUAAUGGGUGAUGGCGUGCCUUUUGUAGAAUGAACCGGCGAGUUACGAUUUGAUGCAAGGUUAAGCAGUAAAUGUGGAGCCGUAGCGAAAGCGAGUCUGAAUAGGGCGUUUAGUAUUUGGUCGUAGACCCGAAACCAGGUGAUCUACCCUUGGUCAGGUUGAAGUUCAGGUAACACUGAAUGGAGGACCGAACCGACUUACGUUGAAAAGUGAGCGGAUGAACUGAGGGUAGCGGAGAAAUUCCAAUCGAACCUGGAGAUAGCUGGUUCUCUCCGAAAUAGCUUUAGGGCUAGCCUCAAGUGAUGAUUAUUGGAGGUAGAGCACUGUUUGGACGAGGGGCCCCUCUCGGGUUACCGAAUUCAGACAAACUCCGAAUGCCAAUUAAUUUAACUUGGGAGUCAGAACAUGGGUGAUAAGGUCCGUGUUCGAAAGGGAAACAGCCCAGACCACCAGCUAAGGUCCCAAAAUAUAUGUUAAGUGGAAAAGGAUGUGGCGUUGCCCAGACAACUAGGAUGUUGGCUUAGAAGCAGCCAUCAUUUAAAGAGUGCGUAAUAGCUCACUAGUCGAGUGACACUGCGCCGAAAAUGUACCGGGGCUAAACAUAUUACCGAAGCUGUGGAUUGUCCUUUGGACAAUGGUAGGAGAGCGUUCUAAGGGCGUUGAAGCAUGAUCGUAAGGACAUGUGGAGCGCUUAGAAGUGAGAAUGCCGGUGUGAGUAGCGAAAGACGGGUGAGAAUCCCGUCCACCGAUUGACUAAGGUUUCCAGAGGAAGGCUCGUCCGCUCUGGGUUAGUCGGGUCCUAAGCUGAGGCCGACAGGCGUAGGCGAUGGAUAACAGGUUGAUAUUCCUGUACCACCUAUAAUCGUUUUAAUCGAUGGGGGGACGCAGUAGGAUAGGCGAAGCGUGCGAUUGGAUUGCACGUCUAAGCAGUAAGGCUGAGUAUUAGGCAAAUCCGGUACUCGUUAAGGCUGAGCUGUGAUGGGGAGAAGACAUUGUGUCUUCGAGUCGUUGAUUUCACACUGCCGAGAAAAGCCUCUAGAUAGAAAAUAGGUGCCCGUACCGCAAACCGACACAGGUAGUCAAGAUGAGAAUUCUAAGGUGAGCGAGCGAACUCUCGUUAAGGAACUCGGCAAAAUGACCCCGUAACUUCGGGAGAAGGGGUGCUCUUUAGGGUUAACGCCCAGAAGAGCCGCAGUGAAUAGGCCCAAGCGACUGUUUAUCAAAAACACAGGUCUCUGCUAAACCGUAAGGUGAUGUAUAGGGGCUGACGCCUGCCCGGUGCUGGAAGGUUAAGAGGAGUGGUUAGCUUCUGCGAAGCUACGAAUCGAAGCCCCAGUAAACGGCGGCCGUAACUAUAACGGUCCUAAGGUAGCGAAAUUCCUCGUCGGGUAAGUUCCGACCCGCACGAAAGGCGUAACGAUUUGGGCACUGUCUCAACGAGAGACUCGGUGAAAUCAUAGUACCUGUGAAGAUGCAGGUUACCCGCGACAGGACGGAAAGACCCCGUGGAGCUUUACUGUAGCCUGAUAUUGAAAUUCGGCACAGCUUGUACAGGAUAGGUAGGAGCCUUUGAAACGUGAGCGCUAGCUUACGUGGAGGCGCUGGUGGGAUACUACCCUAGCUGUGUUGGCUUUCUAACCCGCACCACUUAUCGUGGUGGGAGACAGUGUCAGGCGGGCAGUUUGACUGGGGCGGUCGCCUCCUAAAAGGUAACGGAGGCGCUCAAAGGUUCCCUCAGAAUGGUUGGAAAUCAUUCAUAGAGUGUAAAGGCAUAAGGGAGCUUGACUGCGAGACCUACAAGUCGAGCAGGGUCGAAAGACGGACUUAGUGAUCCGGUGGUUCCGCAUGGAAGGGCCAUCGCUCAACGGAUAAAAGCUACCCCGGGGAUAACAGGCUUAUCUCCCCCAAGAGUUCACAUCGACGGGGAGGUUUGGCACCUCGAUGUCGGCUCAUCGCAUCCUGGGGCUGUAGUCGGUCCCAAGGGUUGGGCUGUUCGCCCAUUAAAGCGGUACGCGAGCUGGGUUCAGAACGUCGUGAGACAGUUCGGUCCCUAUCCGUCGUGGGCGUAGGAAAUUUGAGAGGAGCUGUCCUUAGUACGAGAGGACCGGGAUGGACAUACCUCUGGUGUACCAGUUGUCGUGCCAACGGCAUAGCUGGGUAGCUAUGUGUGGACGGGAUAAGUGCUGAAAGCAUCUAAGCAUGAAGCCCCCCUCAAGAUGAGAUUUCCCAACUUCGGUUAUAAGAUCCCUCAAAGAUGAUGAGGUUAAUAGGUUCGAGGUGGAAGCAUGGUGACAUGUGGAGCUGACGAAUACUAAUCGAUCGAAGACUUAAUCAA